GUUGGCGAGGAAUUUUGACGACUCAAAAAGCUUUUGUGGAAACAUUUAGAAAGAUUGAAGAAAAUGAGCAAUCUGAACAGAUGAAUUUGCAAGCUUCUUUGAAGACGGAAUUAAAGAAAUUUCGUGACAACGCUGCGAAGGAAGUUCAAAAACAAGAACUCGAAAAGAUCAAACGACGUAUUCAGACGAUGCUUGGCACCUCUUUGUGAGUGAUUUAAUGGUUUUAUUACAAAUAAUCAUGCAGGUACUUUUCAAAAUCCAUUUUAUGGACGAUAUUCACUGCAUCAACUGUACUUUUACCCAUUCUCAUUAAUUUGUCAAUGAUUUGAAAUGACGUUAAAUGUUCAAUAAUAUUUAUUCAUUAUAUGUUUAAGUGCGUGUACUGUGUAUGAAUUUCUUCAAAAACACCUAAAUUUUUGAUUCAAUAGUCAUGACGACGAGAAAGCAGGUGUGAUUGUUUGAGAGUUAUUGCAAAGAUAUGGCUUUGUUUUGUUGUAAACGUGUAUUAGUACCAAAAAAUGCGUGUUUUUGUAGUGAUUUUGUUGAAGUGUGAUAUAAACUAUUUACGUUUAAAUUACAUAGAGUAAACCUGUAAAGAAUAGCGUCACUUUUUCGCAUGUACAUAAUAUAUUAAUCCUAACACGGUUUUUAAUAUGCA